UGAGAUUCUGGUGAGUGCGGCAUUUUGGGAUACACCCUUUCACCCAGUGCAGGCCACGCCUGUCCCUGGUUGUAUGAGACGAUGAGGAGGAUUUUCAGCAAGGGGUUCCUUAUGCUUCCAGGGCACAAGGUACUGGAUUUACCCUCUCAUCAAGUCAGGGUGGCCAUUCCUACCAAGGGUGUUCUGGAUGCUUUAGAAAGGGGAUUGGACGUUGGACCCACCGCAGGCAAUAGGGCCACCUAUCUGUACACGUCCUUUCUCUAGUGCAUGCACUUCCCAAAUAUCCCUCUCCCCAUGGCCAGAGCAUCCGAGAAUGUCCUGGCGCAUCCUUCGCCACAUAUGUCCCCAGUCCUGGGGGACAGCAUCCUCUGGGUCCUCUGUGGGGAGUGGUGAGUGGCAGAGUGGCUGCCGUGGGAGAUUCACCUGUUUUUUUCUGACGUAUUUGAGUUCUUCCCUCUACAUUCUAUGCAGCGGGCUUUCUGUCCUCUGACUUCCCUGGCCUGGGUGAGUUUCAGAUCCAUGCUAACCAGAUUCUUAGGCCACAUCCAACCCUGUGGGCCUGGCCGUGGGACGCAGGGGCUCUAUAAAUGCACGCAUAUCGACGCAUUCCAUUCGAUCUUCAAUAACGGACUCCCUCCUCUGUUAAGCGCUCCCAAAAUGUCAUUCCCACAGAAAUCACCCAGAUGUUGAACAGCAGAGUAUGAAAUUCCUGCGUUCCUCUCCAGCCACCCUGGGUCACGCAGGGAUCUGAUCCAAGAAUUGGACCUGAGGGGCAAAUGCAGCUUCUGUGGGACUGGAUCCGAGGCAGGAGAACUUGGGCUUUGGAACUGGCUAUUCCUCCAGGAUGCAGGGGCAGAGGUGGCCCGUGUGCAAGACAGAAGGAUGGAGCCGAUGUACAGAGAGGCAAGUGGUGAGAGCAGGGGGCAGGGUGGUCCUGAGUUCCUGUGCCUCUGCCAUUUCUGGAAGGUUCUGGUGCCUUCCAGAGGGAGACCCAGUAGCCAAUCUGCCCUGGGGCUCCCUGAUUUCAUCGGCAAGCUCCCUGAGCACUGGUGCCCAGUCUCGUAGGCCAGAUCAGAUACAGGUCUUUGAUCAUGGCCGGAGAGGGACCCGCAGCAUGAUCAGGAGGGUGGAGGCUGACUCUGUUGGAGGAAGAGUGGCAAUCAGACCACCCCUGAGAGAGGGGCAUUUGGAGUACAUCUGAUUCCCUGAUCUGGAUGCCUUCUCCUUCCUCUUUGUCCAGUGUAUCCUUAUUAUCCUUCAAGGCAUAGGCAGUGCCUGCCUCCUCCGGGAAGUCCCCCAGACUUUCAAGCCCUCACUUCCUUCUCCUGAGACUCUCCAUUCCCCUUAUCACAUCUACAGCCCUUACUGUUCUUUUUUAAUUUUUAAGAAAUGGAGUCCACCUCUGUCACCCAGGCUGGAGUGCAUUGGCACACUCAUAGCUCACUGGAGCCUUGAACUCCUGGGCUCAAGUGAUCCUCCUGACUCAGCCUUCAGGGUAGCUGGAACUACAGGCUUGUACCGACACACCCAGCUCUGUUCUGUCUUUUUAAGUGGAUUGGUUUUGUCUGCCCAACUAGUCAGUGAGCUCUUUGACAACUAGGACCAU
rnacentral:lncRNA from 10 species